AUUGAACGCUGGCGGCAUGCUUUACACAUGCAAGUCGAACGGCAGCACGGGUGCUUGCACCUGGUGGCGAGUGGCGAACGGGUGAGUAAUGCAUCGGAACGUAUCCAAUAAUGGGGGAUAACGAACCGAAAGGUGUGCUAAUACCGCAUACGCCCUGAGGGGGAAAGUGGGGGACCGUAAGGCCUCACGUUAAUGGAGCGGCCGAUGCCUGAUUAGCUAGUUGGGGAGGUAAAGGCUCACCAAGGCGACGAUCAGUAGCUGGUCUGAGAGGACGACCAGCCACACUGGGACUGAGACACGGCCCAGACUCCUACGGGAGGCAGCAGUGGGGAAUUUUGGACAAUGGGCGCAAGCCUGAUCCAGCCAUGCCGCGUGAGUGAAGAAGGCCUUCGGGUUGUAAAGCUCUUUCGCAAGGAAAGAAAACUUAUCCCCUAAUACGGGAUGAGGAUGACGGUACCUUGAUAAGAAGCACCGGCUAACUACGUGCCAGCCGCCGCAGUAACAC
rnacentral:rRNA from 1 species